UACGGGGGGAGCAAGCGUUGUUCGGAUUUACUGGGCGUAAAGGGCGCGUAGGCGGCGUAACAAGUCACUUGUGAAAUCUCCGGGCUUAACUCGGAGCGGUCAAGUGAUACUGUUGUGCUAGAGUGCGGAAGGGGCUACUGGAAUUCUCGGUGUAGCGGUGAAAUGCGUAGAUAUCGGGAGGAACACCAGUGGCGAAGGCGACUACCUGGCCUGUUCUUGACGCUGAGGCGCGAAAGCUAGGGGAGCAAACGGG
rnacentral:rRNA from 1 species